rnacentral:lncRNA from 1 species
CCUGCAGGAACCCGCCCUUCCCCCCCAACCCCGCGCUGGCCGCUGAGCCUCGGGACCUGAGCCUGGAGAACUCGGCCCCAGGGCGCCGCCUAGAGGUCGGUCGCGGCCUCGGCCUUACUCCCCGGCGACCACAGAGCUGCCUGCGCCAGCUGCCGCCAGAAAUUACAAACAAAACAAAACAAAACUAAUUCCAAGCUUGGCCCGGAGGCUAGGCUUUUGGCACCUCUGACUUUUCCGAAACGGCCUCCCCUCUGCCCUAUAAGAAAGGUCAGGAAGGAGAGAGGCACCCGGAAGGGUCAGAAAUACUUAUUCUUUGGGCUCUCAGUGGAAGAGGGGCUCAAUUUCUGUUUCUUUCAGGACCUGUGUUCUGCGCUGCCUCUUAUGAUCUAAGCUGUCCAGCCCCCUCCAGUGGUGCUAGAACUGCUUUCUCUUCAAGGAAGAAGAGAAGCCAGAAGUCCCUGAAUCUUGCAGCUUGGCCAUCGAUUUUCUGACUAAUUUGGAGAUGGACGUGUUUUUGGAAGAGUAUUUGGAAAACCUUUUGGGGUGAAAAGAAGUUCCUCCGUGGCCUCUGCUCGCUGAGUAACCGAGCUCAGUGAUGCAUGAACACUGCUCUGGAAUUUGAAAGUUGGCUGCUCUGGGGCCAGCCAGGAGGGGAUGUAAACCGUUUGAAGUUCAUCAACACGGUGAAGUUUUAUUGGAUUUCCGGUCCCCAAGAUUUAUACCCAAGAGGGGGAGUGGGCGGCCAGGCAGACUCCCUCCUUACCUCGGGGUUUCCCUGCCGGACACGUGGCCGCUCAGACUGUCGCCUCUGGGACAAGGCAGGAGGGGGCCAGGGUGACCUGGAUGGACUGGCUCGAGCAAUGCACCUGGUAACUGGUAACGGCGGAGUCGCGGUCCCCACUCCCUCAGGUGAGGUGCUGUCUGUGGAGCUCGGGUAUGUGGUGUCUGCACACGGUGAGGCACGGGGGGGGGGGGACACGGGUGGCAGGGGAGAGGGCCCAGUCUGUA